UACGUAGGGUCCGAGCGUUGUCCGGAAUUACUGGGCGUAAAGAGCUCGUAGGUGGUUUGUCGCGUUGUUCGUGAAAACUCACAGCUCAACUGUGGGCGUGCGGGCGAUACGGGCAGACUAGAGUACUGCAGGGGAGACUGGAAUUCCUGGUGUAGCGGUGGAAUGCGCAGAUAUCGGGAGGAACACCGGUGGCGAAGGCGGUUCUCUGGGCCUGUACUGACGCUGAGGAGCGAAAGCGUGGGGAGCAAACAGG
rnacentral:rRNA from 1 species